rnacentral:rRNA from 1 species
CCCUUAGAUGUUCUGGGCCGCACGCGCGCUACACUGAUGCAUUCAACGAGUUUCUUCCUGGUCCGAGAGGAAUGGGUAACCUUUUGAAAGUGCAUCGUGAUAGGGAUAGACUAUUGCAAUUAUUGGUCUUCAACGAGGAAUUCCUAGUAGACGUAGUUCAUCAGACUGCAUCGAAUACGUCCCUGCCCUUUGUACACACCGCCCGUCGCUCCUACCGAUUGAAUGCUCAGGUGAGCCAUUCGGACUUUCAUCAUGCUGGUUUCCAGUUUUGAUGAAGGAAAGUCUUGCGAACCUUAUCAUUUAGAGGAAGGAGAAGUCGUAACA